AAACAUGUUAAAAUAGUCAAAUUUAUUAUAUAAUUCAACAUACAACUAAUCUUCUUCUAAAAUAUCAUCUCUAAUGUGAUAUCCUUUAUGAUGUCCACUGAUAGUAGGAUCUGAAGAGCUUGAUAUGGGAUUAUUCAUUUGAAUGUGUUGUAUGAUGAAUUGCAUUUGCUCAUUUUGUUUGUACAUCAACUCAACUUGUUUGUGUAUGCGUUCACUUUGCUCUUCAUGACUUUUCAUCAAUACCUCCGUCUUUUCUUCAAGUGUCCACUCCUUGGAAUCUUUUGCCAUAAGUUCAUAAUUUAGAUUUUGAAUAAUCUCAUGCAUUUCUUCUAUUUGAUGGACUACUGGAGCUUGGCUUGUAGCAGAAUAACCACUUGUGGAAUUAUUAAACCUUUUGCUCAAUACACCAAGUCCAUAAACAUUCCCUUUAGUUUUAAUUUUUUUUUUACAUUCCGUUGCAGAUUUUGUUUCGUUUUAUUAUUC
rnacentral:lncRNA from 1 species